rnacentral:tRNA from 1 species
UCAAUUGUGGUCUAGUGGUUAGGAUUCCUGGCUUUCACCCAGGCGGCCCCGGUUCGAUUCCCGGCAUGGGAA